AUUGAAACAAUGGUUCCUGUACGAUCACCGAAGUAAAGCAAAGUCGACCCUAGUCAGUACUUAGAUGGGUGACCGCUUGGGAAUACCAGGUGCUGUAAG